rnacentral:misc_RNA from 1 species
GAUGAAGAACGUAGCGAAAUGCGAUAAGUAAUGCGAAUUGCAGAAUUCAGUGAGUCAUCGAAUCUUUGAACGCACAUUGCGCCAUGUGGUAUUCCGCAGGGCAUGCCUGUUCGAGCGUCAUUUCAACCCUCAAGCUCUGCUUGGUGUUGGGCCACGCCUCCGCGGCCGGCCCCAAAGCUAGUGGCGGUGCCGUCUGGCUCUAAGCGUAGUACAUCUCUCGCUCUAGGGCCCGGCGGUUGCUUGCCAGAACCCACACUCUUAUGGUUGACCUCGGAUCAGGUAGGGAUACCCGCUGAACUUAAGCAUAUCAAUAAGCGGAGGA